GUCUCUAAUGAUGUUUAAUUUUUAAAACUUUCGUUCUUCUGAGAUAAUCACCUUGCGGAAAUCUAUUAAAUAUUUUAACUGAAGAGAC